rnacentral:misc_RNA from 1 species
CCGUCGAUCCCUAGUUCGAAGCUGUACUGCGCUGGGGUGUAACGAAGCGGCGCCAUGCCCUUUAGAAACAGGGCGUGGCGCCGUUGCGUUUGGGCGACGGGGCUAUCGCACCGCGAACUGAGUGGCGGCGCUCGCCGAGCGCCCCGGCCUUUUUGGCGAGCAUGUCCACACGGUAUGCCCCGACGGAUCCCUGUUUCUUCAGGCGAAGCUUGUACAGGGCGGUCCCGUCGCCUCCGGUCGUUAUAUUCGCCACCACGAUCGCACCCGAUGCCUUGGUGAUGGUGAACGUCACCGGUCAGAUGCCGACGACCGGCGUCGGCUUUCUAGCCACCACGACAGGCUGACGCGGCGUCGAUGAAGGCGAGCAGAGGACCGAGAAUCGGGCUCUCGUACUCGCCCGAACCCUCACCACGUGUCGAUACAGCGGCGCUUCUUGACGCGCCGCGGGGCAGGUUCCGGGGUCCGAGCAAGCCCUAGUCGAAAUGAAGCCCUCGCGCGGCGACGAGCUCGCGCGCCAUCGCCUCGGCCCUCGUGAAAGCGGUGCAGCGAAUGGAGCACGUGACCGAGCAGCAAGAGAGCUUCCGGGCUGUGAGGCCUGCGCGCCGCGAUGCAGCGGCCGCAUUGCUCGGCGAGCUUCGAGUAGCCCGGGUCGUAGCUGCGGCGCGCCUUCGGCGUAAACAACCAGCCGAGUCGCUCGAGCCAGACGAUAGAAUCGGCGUCUCUCGCGCGAUCCUGGGCUCGGGAAUCUCGCGAUCGAGGGGUUCGGUUCCCUCGUGGGGGAGGAGUGCGAUCACGCAGGGGUCGAGCGGCGGAGUCGCUGCUUCACCGGCCAGCACCGAGCCCGGAAGAGCGAGCGUCGCUGCGACGACGAAUACGAAGAAAAGCCUGAGUGUUGCUGCACACUCCACGGGAGCCUCGUGGUUACUCGAGUCCGCCGGCGGGUCACGCCGCGGACGCGCUGUUCAUGCCUCCAAUACGACGCUCGCCGCAUUCGGAUGAAGUGACGAUCCGCGGGAUGGUAAAUCAUCCGUCAUGGGCAUAUGGGGGCUCGGCGUGCGUUCGCGCACCGAGCUGGCCUCGGAUGAACCAGGCCAAGGCUCGCGGCUCGCAAUGCCGUGCUGCGCACGCGACCGCGAAGGCCCGAACAGGUCGCGGUUCACGGUACCGACCCCGCCCACCAGGCCGUCGGCCGGCGUCUUCUCGAUGAGCUCUUCUACGGAGCGUCGCCGCCGCUGCGCGGCGAUCACCAGCGGACCGUACUCCA